GCCUUCGUGGUGUAGUGGUCAGCACGCUCGGCGCGCAUUCAAGAGGUCCGGAGUUCAAAUCCCGGCGAGGGCA
rfam:Stegodyphus mimosarum contig49255, whole genome shotgun sequence.